CUACAAAAUUUCAACAAAAUAUUUCUUUUUUUUUUUUGCUUUUAUUAAUUUUUCCUAAUAAUAUUUUUCUAUAACAUAAACUUGGGUGUACUCGUUUUUGGACCUUUAUCGUAAGUUAUGUUAAACAAGCUCCAGAUUUGGCUUCAGCACUGACUAAUCUAAUGUAUAUGCACAAAUAUAAGAUUGUAUAGCUUCCUAUUAAAAAUAUGAAUUUAAAAGAUAGAUUUGUGAGGGGUGUACUUAAACAUAUAUGCUGAGCAUUGUACAUAUACUGCCAUUUUUGUAUGCCUUCAUUGGACAAAACAACUUAUUUUACUAUGUUUUAUAUUAUAUUCUGCCAGCACAGCCUACAUCAUAGUGCCUAACCAGGGGUCAGGGCUCAGAACUGAAAGCAGAUCGGCUAAGUAAUUGCCUGUAACUCAGGUGUUAGGGGAAUGUGCUGGUCAAAGGUCAGAGUUUUUGUUUUUUUGCUGAACAGAAAAAAAAAAUGGCCACCAAACUGCAUUUCAAUUGACAACUCAUUAUAAUCUCUCCAAACGCCUGUCACUCUUCCCUGUCCAGAUUCCCCAAAUCCCUGGCCUUCCUUGCUCGACCAUGUCCACAAAUGAAAGGGAAGAGGACCACACAGGAACCAACGACGACGCCGUGUCACUGUUCAAAACAGACACCCCUGUAAACACAACACAUGCUUCACAUGGGCUGAUCGUUGCAGUUUCACGCUUAUCAAAAAUAAGCAUCGGGCUGGAUGCACCUCUCGCCGCUACCUUCGCAGAAUCUCAAGUAUCUUAUGCAAACUGUGUGCGUUUGUUGGGGAGCUCUGGCAGCGACUGAUGAGUGUCUCAUUAUCUCCACACCAGCCGUACACAGUAAGAAGAGCAUAAUCAAAGCCUGGGGGAUAUUUCAAUUUGAUGCUCAACAAGCUGAGCCUGAGAUUAAAGGAUCAUACGUGUCAUCCACACAAACAUCACUUCCAGAGCAGGCGAGCGUACGUGAGCUCAGCUUUUCCAAGAGAGAGGCGUCACCGCCGCAGACGACGCAGUCGCACUUCUGUCUCCCUGUGUGUGUGUGUGUGUGCAACUGAAGGCUGAUGCGAUGCUUCUCACAUGUUUGAGAUGUCGAGGAAGGAGUCUUUCCUUUUUUUACAUGUGUGUGUGUGUGUGUGUGUGUGUGUGUACGUGUGACGAAUUUUGCUUUUAAGAAAUAUUUAUGAGCCGGUACCCUUCUUAAAAAAAAAAAAAAAGGAAAAAAAGAAAGCGUUGUCUUUAAUGAACAUGUUUUAGAGAUUGUUUCAGCAUCUAU
rnacentral:lncRNA from 1 species